AACCGCGUGGGGAAAUGGAUAACGCGUCGGUCUUCGGAACCGAAGAUUGGAGGUUCGAGUCCUGCCGUGGUUC
rfam:Toxocara canis scaffold114, whole genome shotgun sequence.